AUAGCUCAAAUUUAAAAUCUGGCCUUUGGCCCGAAUUGUAGUCUAAAGAGGUGCUAUCUUGAUUUUUGGUGUGCGUACAAGUGUCCUGGAAUGGACCAUCACAGAGGGUGAGAAUCCCGUUUGGAUGCACACGUCAAGUCAUUAUGAGGCACUCUCUAAGAGUCGAGUUGUUUGGGAAUGCAGCUCAAAUUGGGUGGUAAACUUCAUCCAAGGCUAAAUAUUGGCAAGAGACCGAUAGCGAA
rnacentral:rRNA from 1 species